rnacentral:rRNA from 1 species
GAUGAACGCUGGCGGCGUGCCUAAUACAUGCCAGUCGAGCGAACGGACGAGAAGCUUGCUUCUCUGAUGUUAGCGGCGGACGGGUGAGUAACACGUGGAUAACCUACCUAUAAGACUGGGAUAACUUCGGGAAACCGGAGCUAAUACCAGAUGAUAUUUUGAACCGCAUGGUUCAAAAGUGAAAGACGGUCUUGCUGUCACUUAUAGAUGGAUCCGCGCUGCAUUAGCUAGUUGGUAAGGUAACGGCUUACCAAGGCAACGAUGCAUAGCCGACCUGAGAGGGUGAUCGGCCACACUGGAACUGAGACACGGUCCAGACUCCUACGGGAGGCAGCAGUAGGGAAUCUUCCGCAAUGGGCGAAAGCCUGACGGAGCAACGCCGCGUGAGUGAUGAAGGUCUUCGGAUCGUAAAACUCUGUUAUUAGGGAAGAACAUAUGUGUAAGUAACUGUGCACAUCUUGACGGUACCUAAUCAGAAAGCCACGGCUAACUACGUG